rnacentral:lncRNA from 1 species
UUCAUGCAUAUCUUAUAAUCAGAGCUAAUCAUUAAUCAAGCUUGGGUAUAAAAAGUGACAAAUUUUAAAUAGGUUUGGCCGUUAUUCAUAGAGUCGCUGGAUUUAGAGCAUGUUGAAUCGUACUGGUGGCUGUUCCAACGUUUAAAAUGAGAUAUGAAUGAGAAGGAGAGGGAGAAGAAAAGAUAAAAAAAGAGGAGAGAGA